GUCGCUUUGGCCAAGUGGUUAAGGCGUAUGCCUGCUAAGUACAUGGGGUUUCCCCGCGAGAGUUUAAAUCUCUCAGGCGACG
rnacentral:tRNA from 1 species